AUGCACGCUAGCGAUAGGCUUAACACCUGCCAGUCGAGGGGCAGCAUGGUCUUAGCUUGCUAAGGCUGAUGGCGACCGGCGCACGGGUGCGUAACGCGUAUGCAACUUGCCUCACAGAGGGGGAUAACCCGUCGAAAGACGGACUAAUACCGCGUACACUCUAUGUUGGGCAUCCAAUGUAGAGGAAAUGAAAUUCGCUGUGAGAUAGGCAUGCGUCCCAUUAGCUAGUUGGUGAGGUAACGGCUCACCAAGGCGACGAUGGGUAGGGGAACUGAGAGGUUGAACCCCCACACUGGUACUGAGACACGGACCAGACUCCUACGGGAGGCAGCAGUGAGGAAUAUUGGUCAAUGGGCGAGAGCCUGAACCAGCCAAGUCGCGUGAAGGAUGACUGUCUUAUGGAUUGUAAACUUCUUUUAUACGGGAAUAACAAGAGUCACGUGUGGCUCCCUGCAUGUACCGUAUGAAUAAGCAGCGGCUAACUCCGUG
rnacentral:rRNA from 1 species